rnacentral:tRNA from 1 species
CGGGGGCGCGUUUAUAGGCCCCGCCUUAACAGUAUUUUCACUGUCAAGGCGGGGCUCAUGCAUUGUGUUCUUUU